rnacentral:rRNA from 1 species
GAUCCGUAACCUUGGGAUAAGGAUUGGCUCUGAGGACUGAGCCGGUCGGGCUAGGGACCUGAAGCAGGAACGGCACUGCACCACUACUGGGCGGGGCCCGCCGUUCACGCGGCGCGGCCAAGCCCGGACCAGCGUCGGGACCUUCCUGUGGAAAGUCUCAGCUGCGCGGCGUCUGAGGGCUUCGUGCCCAAAGUGCUAUGCUUCGGCCGGCAAAAAACAGUCAACUCAGAACUGGCAC